rnacentral:siRNA from 1 species
CUAAUAUAUUAGGAUGUGGUUGGU